GAUAACAUUAUUUUGGAUAAUAUAAAUGUAAGUAGUUGACUGCCAUGUUUUAUUGUUGAAAUAAUCAUACUUGAGAAUGACGAAAUAUGACAUUUAAAGUGAUGGAUAGAAUGAUGAACAUGAUCAUAUAAACAAGCUUGCUUGGGCUUAGUGGGCUAUGCCCAUUGGGCCUAUGUGUCGGUCAUGGGCCGAAAAUUAGGCUGUGACACAUAAACAUACUACGAUGUACUAAUGAUUUUGGAAAAUGAAUUUCCAAUGGCAUCGACAUGGAAUCUCUUGUCUUAAAGCGCGAUUUGUUGAAAUAACCAGAUUGGUGGCAAAUCAUAGGCAUCAUAGUCCUAAGGGAUAUUAUUUGUGUUACAUGCAGUCUGGUAUCCUUAGCAGCAGAAGUUCUUGCAGAGUCCACCACCUUUAUCAUCCACUUCACUAAGUUGAUCUUUGUAACAACCCUGUGCCCACCCACCUU
rnacentral:lncRNA from 1 species